rnacentral:rRNA from 1 species
GAUGAACGCUAGCGGCAGGCUUAAUACAUGCAAGUCGAACGGCAAGGACUUUCGGGUCCCUAGAGUGGCGCACGGGUGAGUAACACGUACACAACAUACCCUAUAUUGGAGGAUAGCCUUGGGAAACUGGGGGUAAUAUUCCAUAGUAUUUAUUGGAGGCAUCUCUGAUAAAUUAAAGAGCAAUCGAUAUAGGAUUGGUGUGCGUCCCAUUAGCUAGUUGGUAGGGUAACGGCCUACCAAGGCUACGAUGGGUAGCUGGCGUGAGAGCGCGGCCAGCCACACUGGAACUGAGACACGGUCCAGGACUCCUACGGGAGGCAGCAGUAGGGAAUAUUGGACAAUGGAGGCAACUCUGAUCCAGCCAUGCCGCGUGGAGGAUGACUGCCCUCUGGGGUUGUAAACUCCUUUUGUACAGGAAGAAACCUCCUCAUUUAUGAGUGAGCUGACGGUACUGUAAGAAUAAAGCACCGGCUAACGUCCGUGCCAGCAGCCGCGGUAAU